GUCCAGGGUUGCCUAGUGGACAUGGCAUCUGCCCGGUAAGCGGAACACUGUGGGUUCGAUUCCCAUCCCUUGACA
rnacentral:tRNA from 1 species